GACGAACGCUGGCGGCGUGCCUAAUACAUGCAAGUUGAGCGCUGAAGGUUGGUACUUGUACCAACUGGAUGAGCAGCGAACGGGUGAGUAACGCGUGGGGAAUCUGCCUUUGAGCGGGGGACAACAUUUGGAAACGAAUGCUAAUACCGCAUAAAAACUUUAAACACAAGUUUUAAGUUUGAAAGAUGCAAUUGCAUCACUCAAAGAUGAUCCCGCGUUGUAUUAGCUAGUUGGUGAGGUAAAGGCUCACCAAGGCGAUGAUACAUAGCCGACCUGAGAGGGUGAUCGGCCACAGUGGGACUGAGACACGGCCCAAACUCCUACGGGAGGCAGCAGUAGGGAAUCUUCGGCAAUGGACGAAAGUCUGACCGAGCAACGCCGCGUGAGUGAAGAAGGUUUUCGGAUCGUAAAACUCUGUUGGUAGAGAAGAACGUUGGUGAGAGUGGAAAGCUCAUCAGGUGACGGUAACUACCCAGAAAGGGACGGCUAACUACGUG
rnacentral:rRNA from 1 species